UACGAAGGGGGCUAGCGUUGUUCGGAAUCACUGGGCGUAAAGCGCACGUAGGCGGAUUGUUAAGUCGGGGGUGAAAUCCUGAGGCUCAACCUCAGAACUGCCUUCGAUACUGGCAAUCUCGAGUCCGGAAGAGGUUGGUGGAACAGCUAGUGUAGAGGUGAAAUUCGUAGAUAUUAGCUAGAACACCAGUGGCGAAGGCGGCCAACUGGUCCGGUACGUGGC
rnacentral:rRNA from 1 species